GUUUUAAUUAAAACCUUGCUUUUUUUGUUUCUUGCAAGUGAACAACAUCCUGGUUUCUCCUCUAUGUGCAAAGUUCAAAACUUCAAAAACAGAACUGUAAUCAGAUAUUCAAUUAAAAAAAAAAAAAAAAAUGGAUCAUGUCUGUUUAGUGGACUUUUAGACCUCUUACCAAAGCAAAAUUUCCCUCACUUCACAAUCAUGACAUAUUCAUGUCAACACUUUUUAGCAGUAUACAUAUUAGUGGGCAAAUAUUGCAAGGAUGAAGCACAGAAAGAGUAAAAUUAGAUCAAAACUCUCAAACAAGUACCCUGAAAACUCACUAAAAAUUGCAACCACUUCUAUCAAAUAUCCCACUAGUUUUAUGUUUUUGUUGCCCUUUUUAAAAUGUUUUUAAAAUAUUAAAUAUUAUGGUUACUUCUAUACAGAGAAGAAUUUUACCUCUACUGACUUCAGCAGGAAGGCUGUGCUUCCAAACCAGCUACUGGGAGGCAUUGGUGGGAGGAGAGUCUAUCUCCUCUGAACCUGGCAUGCAUGUGUGCAUUCACCCACAAAAUGUAACUUCCUCUCAAGAAGAAGAAGGGACUUGGCUGGCUGUACUUUUGUUUUCUGUGAGUUCUGUCUGUAAGUGCUGUUAAAGACAACUCCUUACGUGUGGCAGCCCGUGUGACCAACUCCAUUUCUGUCCUGUGUGUGCAUGUCUGUAUGUGUUUGUGUCUUUGGGAUAUAUGCUCAACUUUGCUAACAGUUGGAUUUGAAAGGGGGAAAGCAUCUGCAUUAUCCCCUGACUGGGCAGAGACCCAGGGGCACUGAGCAUGAAGCUGGGUCCCAGUGGCCAAGAAAGAGCAGUGCUGGGCCGCAGCAGCUAGAGCAGGUGAUCACACUCCGUAUAUCACUUAAAAAUCAAGUCUUGCAGAGCACUGCUGUCAGAGACCUUCAGUGCAAAUUACCAUGCAAUAGAAGUAAUCAUAAUAUAAGCCAAAGUGACUGCAAAGAUGAGACUGUAGCUCUAUCUAGCUCAGAAUUCUACCUCAGAAUUGAUUACAUCUGGGUAAUUAGGAAAGAAAAAUAGAUUAUAUACCAUCUUUAUACCAAGAAAAAUAGCAUAAAGAAAAUGUUACAGAAGUGCUAUUUCUGCAUGAACAUGACAGAAAGCCAUUGAACACAUUCAUUUUUGGCCUUACUAUACUGCUACCUACAUCUUAGUAUAUAUUAAUCUCAUCUACAGAGCAAAUCAUUUUUCUAGAACUUACAAAAAUAAGUUAACUUGUGCAGAAUGAUAGCAUAAUCAGUCUUUUUUUAUAAUUUUAUUUUCACUAGAAUACAAGAAAAGGCUCUCCAUGAAUACUUACCUCCUAAAAAUUGUCACUUUUCUGUAGUUACUUCCCUCCUGAUUCAUUGCAACUAACUAGGUAUCCAGUCUAAGCAACCCAUCUAGAUUAGUUUUUAUAUAACAUACCUUGGUAUCCAAUUGAUUGUCUUACAAUAAUCCUUUUGUUCUUUGUAUUCUGUUUCACACUGAACAUCCUCCUAUUCCUACCCGUGGUUAACAUCUACCUUUCCCAGCAUACUGAUUCUAUCUCUCAUGUGCUUAUUUCUUGUUUUAUUCUAACAUCAAGUUACUCUGCUGAGGUGACUUAUUAAUGUAAAUAUUAAAUCUUCUUCCUUGGGAAAAAAAGAUUUCUUUCAGGCUUCUGCAAUAGAAUCAAUUUUGCAUAGUUAAGUAAGUAAGGAGAAGUGUACAACAGAAGAGUUCCAUAAGUCUAUCAGCCCUACAAGCCACUGUCAGCAAUGACUACUAAGUUGUAAAGAUAUAAACAUAGACAGUUUUGCAAUGUUUGUCUUCUAUUGCACAAAGUUUACUGAAAGCAAUUUGGAGGCCCCCUGACUUCCAUUCAGGCUCACAGGAAAACCAACUCUGGAAGGCUAAUUAGCCAGGAGCUAGAUUAAGUUCAACGCAGGGGCAACAUGAGUCAAGUCACUUUGAAAAGUACCAAAAUAACAUGAACUGUCUCCUUGUAGGCCAGCAUUUCCCAAUGGGCUGCCAUGAGGCAGUAGUACUCCCAAAAUAAUAGUGAAUAUGGUAAUAUUUAUGCUCUACCAGUUUGGCCUUAAAAGCUAUUCCUUGGAGAUUUGGGAUGUGGAUGAACAGGAUGUAUUCCUUGUUUGGGAUAUUGGUGGCUGUAACUUCUUGUUUCCUCCCCAAUUUUGCAGAAAAGCUUCUAAAAAUAAUAAUAAUAAUUAUUAUUAUUAUAAAAUCUCAUGGGCUAUAUAUACUUUAGUUCUUAAUGUUUUAGAUGUCUUUACAAAAAAAUCCUUUUCAACAGGAGAUAAACUGAUAUCAGUGAGAAGAGGGGAAAAGAACUAAACUUCAAUUAAAUUUUAAUUGAGACUUCCCUGCUUUUGAAGUCUUGUUAUAGUAAAGGACUUUGAUUUCAUUUUAAAUCAUUCCAUAGGAAAAUGAAUUUGAAAAAAAAAAAAAAAAAUCAUGCUCAGGGUAAUUUAAGUACCUAAGGUAUUAAAUGCACUGACUGAGGGUAUUCAGCAAGUUUUAACAGAGCAGAAACCUUCCGCUGCUCUCCAAAUACUUGCUAUUGCUUUAAAUUUGUGAUGUAAUUUUAGGAAGCUAUGUUGUCAGGUCAGAUCUCAUUAGAUUGCAUUGCUUUGUAUUAUGUAAGCACUACUAACAGAUGAAAGUUCAGCAGUUUAGCUAUGUGCUCCUCAACAGUGGAAAAUCCACUAACCAGCUAAAUGCUAUCAUAAUCUGCACAUGUCAAAACACAUAGAACUCACUAUCACCAGGAACCUGGAUGUAAACCUCAUUAAAGUCUACGGAGGGAAUCUCCAAACUUCGGUGUACUACGAAAAGGAAAUUACAGCAUGAUAAUAGCUAUCCAAUCAGAACAGCAAAACAACACAACAAUAUCUCAGGUAAAGCUGACUUGUGUUUAGGAUUGAAUGGUAACUUUUAAAAAAGUACCUUUGAAAAAGCAAUCAUAAACAGAGAGAAGGGGAGGAAGAAGACUCAGAUGGGUCUAAGGUCUCCAUCUGACGUGUUCCCUUUACAGUCAGAGAAGCACAGGAAGAACAGGGAAUAAGAAGCAUGAGACUGCUCAGCCUUUGAGCUCCAACACUCAGUAAGGGAGCUGUGAAAACAACUACUUGCCACAGCUGCAUAUGUAGGACUCCCUGGUCAUUUUUGUUUGUAUGAGCUGGUCUCUAAAGAAAGGUUUCCUUGGAUCACAAAAUGUUGUACCAGAAUAAGCUAAUUUCUUAAACAGAAAACUUGGGUGAGAAAAAUUAAAAGGUUUAGAAACAAUUUUUUUCUACCUUCACCCUCUUUGAAAGAGCAGUCCCUUUACUGCAGUUUUAUUCUGAGCUUAGCAGUUUUCAGUGGUUUCUUGGGUAGCAACAAACUGUAACAUAACCAUUCCCUUGAAUGUAGGAAAAUUUCCCUCUGUCUGUUACUUCUUAGGCUUGUCUCUGUGUUCCCAGACUCCAUUCAUAACUCAGACUUUUUUUUCCAGAUCUCAGACUCUGUUCUAGCUUGCUCCCUCAGGGAAACACCUCUCCAGAGGCUCCACUCUCGACCACAUGACAGCUUUUAGAAGAGGCAGUUGAGCAGGCUGUCUCGCUCCAAUUUAUAGGAGGGAGAGGAGGUUCUUUGAAAUAUGUAUGCCCGGCGUGAGAUUAAGAAACAGCCGUUCAAAUGUUGGUCCGACCAUUUUAUUACAAAUGUUAAUAAGGGAGAUGAAGAAAGGGGAGGACGGACACUAUUAUGGAUUGGGGUGAUGGGGAAGGGAAGGCGAGCGAUAGAAAAGGUAGAAAGAAGCAAGAAUUGGAAGUCCGUCAGCAUACAGUCCGUAGAGAAGGAUCUGAAGGCAGAAACCUCGAGUCCGUUGUGGUGAGGGAUCUGAUGGCCGAAACCCUUCACCAGUCUGUCGUGGUGAGAGAUCAGAUGGCAGAAAACCCCUCUGAGU
ensembl:lncRNA